rnacentral:rRNA from 1 species
AGUCGAGGGGUAUAGUUCUUCGGAAUUAGAGACCGGCGCACGGGUGCGUAACGCGUAUGCAAUCUACCUUUUACAGGGGAAUAGCCCAGAGAAAUUUGGAUUAAUGCCCCAUAGUAUAAUUUAUUCGCAUGAGUAGAUUAUUAAAGUUCCAACGGUAAAAGAUGAGCAUGCGUCCCAUUAGCUAGAUGGUAAGGUAACGGCUUACCAUGGCGACGAUGGGUAGGGGUCCUGAGAGGGAGAUCCCCCACACUGGUACUGAGACACGGACCAGACUCCUACGGGAGGCAGCAGUGAGGAAUAUUGGUCAAUGGACGCAAGUCUGACCAGCCAUGCCGCGUGCAGGAUGACGGUCCUAUGGAUUGUAAACUGCUUUUGUACGAGAAGAAACAUCCCUACGUGUCGGGACUUGACGGUAUCGUAAGAAUAAGGAUCGGCUAACUCCGUGCCAGCAGCCGCGGUAAUACGGAGGAUCCAAGCGUUAUCCGGAAUCAUUGGGUUUAAAGGGUCCGUAGGCGGUCUAAUAAGUCAGUGGUGAAAGCCCAUCGCUCAACGGUGGAACGGCCAUUGAUACUGUCUGACUUGAAUUAUUAGGAAGUAACUAGAAUAUGUAGUGUAGCGGUGAAAUGCUUAGAGAUUACAUGGAAUACCAAUUGCGAAGGCAGGUUACUACUAAUGGAUUGACGCUGAUGGACGAAAGCGUGGGUAGCGAACAGGAUUAGAUACCCUGGUAGUCCACGCCGUAAACGAUGGAUACUAGCUGUUGGGAGCAAUUUCAGUGGCUAAGCGAAAGUGAUAAGUAUCCCACCUGGGGAGUACGUUCGCAAGAAUGAAACUCAAAGGAAUUGACGGGGGCCCGCACAAGCGGUGGAGCAUGUGGUUUAAUUCGAUGAUACGCGAGGAACCUUACCAAGGCUUAAAUGUAGAUUGACCGGUUUGGAAACAGACUUUUCGCAAGACAAUUUACAAGGUGCUGCAUGGUUGUCGUCAGCUCGUGCCGUGAGGUGUCAGGUUAAGUCCUAUAACGAGCGCAACCCCUGUUGUUAGUUGCCAGCGAGUCAUGUCGGGAACUCUAACAAGACUGCCAGUGCAAACUGUGAGGAAGGUGGGGAUGACGUCAAAUCAUCACGGCCCUUACGCCUUGGGCUACACACGUGCUACAAUGGCCGGUACAGAGAGCAGCCACUGGGUGACCAGGAGCGAAUCUAUAAAACCGGUCACAGUUCGGAUCGGAGUCUGCAACUCGACUCCGUGAAGCUGGAAUCGCUAGUAAUCGGAUAUCAGCCAUGAUCCGGUGAAUACGUUCCCGGGCCUUGUACACACCGCCCGUCAAGCCAUGGAAGCUGGGGGUGCCUGAAGUCGGUGACC